rnacentral:rRNA from 1 species
AGUGAACGCUGGCGGUAGGCCUAACACAUGCAAGUCGAACGGCAGCACAGUAAGAGCUUGCUCUUACGGGUGGCGAGUGGCGGACGGGUGAGGAAUACAUCGGAAUCUACUUUUUCGUGGGGGAUAACGUAGGGAAACUUACGCUAAUACCGCAUACGACCUACGGGUGAAAGCAGGGGAUCUUCAGACCUUGCGCGAUUGAAUGAGCCGAUGUCGGAUUAGCUAGUUGGCGAGGUAAAGGCCCACCAAGGCGACGAUCCGUAGCUGGUCUGAGAGGAUGAUCAGCCACACUGGAACUGAGACACGGUCCAGACUCCUACGGGAGGCAGCAGUGGGGAAUAUUCGGCAAUGGGCGCAAGCCUGAUCCAGCCAUACCGCGUGGGUGAAGAAGGCCUUCGGAUUGUAAAGCCCUUUUAUUGGGAAAGAAAAGAAGCAGGUUAAUACCCCGCUGUUCUGACGGUACCCAAAGAAUAAGCACCGGCUAACUUCGUG